CUUCUGGGUCGGGGUUUCGUACGUAGCA
rnacentral:piRNA from 6 species